rnacentral:rRNA from 1 species
ACUCGAGUGGCGAACGGGUGAGUAACACGUGGGUGAUCUGCCCUGCACUUUGGGAUAAGCCUGGGAAACUGGGUCUAAUACCGAAUAGGACCGCGCGCUUCAUGGUGUGUGGUGGAAAGCUUUUGCGGUGUGGGAUGGGCCCGCGGCCUAUCAGCUUGUUGGUGGGGUAAUGGCCUACCAAGGCGACGACGGGUAGCCGGCCUGAGAGGGUGACCGGCCACACUGGGACUGAGAUACGGCCCAGACUCCUACGGGAGGCAGCAGUGGGGAAUAUUGCACAAUGGGCGCAAGCCUGAUGCAGCGACGCCGCGUGAGGGAUGACGGCCUUCGGGUUGUAAACCUCUUUCACCAGGGACGAAGCGCAAGUGACGGUACCUGGAGAAGAAGCACCGGCCAACUACGUGCCAGCAGCCGCGGUAAUACGUAGGGUGCGAGCGUUGUCCGGAAUUACUG